rnacentral:tRNA from 1 species
GGAGGUGUAAGGGCACCUGGUGGGCCCCCCCGCCUUCAAAGCGGGUGCCGGCAGCGAACCUGCCGGGGCGGGUUCGAUUCCCGUCCACCUCCG